rnacentral:rRNA from 1 species
AGUGAACGCUGGCGGUAGGCCUAACACAUGCAAGUCGAACGGCAGCACAGUAAGAGCUUGCUCUUACGGGUGGCGAGUGGCGGACGGGUGAGGAAUACAUCGGAAUCUACUUUUUCGUGGGGGAUAACGUAGGGAGACUUACGCUAAUACCGCAUACGACCUACGGGUGAAAGCAGGGGAUCUACGGACCUUGCGCGAUUGAAUGAGCCGAUGUCGGAUUAGCUAGUUGGCGGGGUAAAGGCCCACCAAGGCGACGAUCCGUAGCUGGUCUGAGAGGAUGAUCAGCCACACUGGAACUGAGACACGGUCCAGACUCCUACGGGAGGCAGCAGUGGGGAAUAUUGGACAAUGGGCGCAAGCCUGAUCCAGCCAUACCGCGUGGGUGAAGAAGGCCUUCGGGUUGUAAAGCCCUUUUGUUGGGAAAGAAAAGCAGCAGGUUAAUACCCCGCUGUUCUGACGGUACCCAAAGAAUAAGCACCGGCUAACUUCGUG